rnacentral:tRNA from 4 species
GCGGGAAUAGCUCAGUUGAUAGAGCAUUAGCCUUCCAAGCUGAGGGUCGCGGGUUUGAGUCCCGUUUCCCGCUCCA